GCUAUAGAUAGAUGACUAAGGAUGAUAUGCGAGUCACAUUUUUUUUAACAAUCUCUUAAACAUUUCCUUCAAUACAUCUACCCAGCUAAAAGGUUUAUCUUGCACGAUUCUGAUACUUUUAUUCCAAAAUGGAAAACAUUAGCAACCCAAACUGUGUCCUGUGAAGUAAUGAUUAUCCCACAUGAUGGUUCUGCUUCCAAUUUGUUCUUUUGUGAGCUGAAAAUGCUGCAUGUUUUCCAAACUCACACAGAGCUUAAUCAGCUGGAGGAGGAGGAAGAGCAAAGACUCCAGCCACUGACCGCAUCUGUACAUGCUGACUUGCUAAUUUGGCUCACCCUGUGAACUCUGCAAGAAGACAUAAGCAGCUGUGAGAACUUCUAGCACAAAGUGGGGAGAGAGGCAGACAAGUUGUUCCUACAAUGUGAAUCUGCUUAUCACUCAGCAAAUGUAAGGAAUUCAAAACUGAGUCCUCCCUUCUACAAUUGUUUGGUUCUUCUGAUGCAGCAGAAAACUUACUUAAAGCUUGUGCUUUAUUAAAGUUACUGGAAUUUAUCUGUUCUUUGCUUCAUCAAAACAAAUCUCAGGUGUAAAUCUAGGUGUAAAUCUUUGGUAAAUCUGUACAUUCUGCAGGUGUUUUCUUCUCUUUACCCAUGUUUCACAAAUAGUAGAGGAUCCAUAAUACAUGCAAGGCAGUAGAAGACUAGAAGACUGGCUCCUCUGUUUUCUUUUCCAAUUUUAUUUAAGAAUAAGUAGGAUAAAUAAGUUUUAAAACAAUCUUAGAUAUGGUUGUCAGCUGACCAAAAAAAAAAAAAAAAAAGAAAAAAAAUUGACUGAUUACUUCUGUCACUCUGAAAUUUGGAAAAUCAAAAAUGGUACCUCUUUCAAAAGAAGUGCUUCUGCCUUUUAGUCAAAUGCUCAAAGAAAAAUUAUAUAUAAGAGCACUGGUAAGGACUUCAUUUGAGAGGGUGCCAACAUGAAAACAAUUUAAUUCUUCUACAAUCUAGGCAUUCCAAGCUUAGUCUAUCAUUUCUCUAGUUUGCAUAGUAAACAGCACAGCAGCAGAAGUGCUAGGAACGUUGAGAUAAUGCUUUCUUAACUGCCCAGGAGUACAUUAUUCUUUUGCUGUCUUAUUAGAAUUAUUAUAGCUUAUGUAUUAAUUAAAAAGGUAAAUAUCCUUAUUAUUAGUAAAUUACUUGGGCCUUUUCUGGCAUCUGAACAAGGAAAGAUAAACACAUUUUCUGGAAUUCUCUAAAUAACCAUUACAUUCCUUCUUUCAAGUACUGAAUCUAUACAUAAAUGAAAUAAAAUGUUGCUUAUCUGAAAGAAAAAUGCA
rnacentral:lncRNA from 1 species